GACGAACGCUGGCGGCGUGCCUAACACAUGCAAGUCGAGCGGGGAGAGAUUUUCGGAUUUCUCUUUAGCGGCGGACGGGUGAGUAACACGUGGGUAACCUGCCUCAAAGAGGGGGAUAGCCUUCCGAAAGGAAGCUUAAUACAGCAUAAUAACUGGAAGCUGCAUGGCAUUCUGAUUAAAGGAGCAAUCCGCUUUGAGAUGGACCCGCGGCGCAUUAGCUAGUUGGUGAGGUAACGGCCCACCAAGGCGACGAUGCGUAGCCGACCUGAGAGGGUGAUCGGCCACAUUGGAACUGAGACACGGUCCAGACUCCUACGGGAGGCAGCAGUGGGGAAUAUUGCACAAUGGGGGAAACCCUGAUGCAGCAACGCCGCGUGAGUGAUGAAGGCCUUCGGGUCGUAAAGCUCUUUGAUCAGGGACGAUAAUGACGGUACCUGAAAAACAAGCCACGGCUAACUACGUGCCAGCCGCCGCCGUAAUAC
rnacentral:rRNA from 1 species